UACGUAGGGUGCGAGCGUUAAUCGGAAUUACUGGGCGUAAAGCGUGCGCAGGCGGCUUUGCAAGACAGAUGUGAAAUCCCCAGGCUUAACCUGGGAACUGCAUUCGAGACUGCAUUGCUAGAGUAUGGGAGAGGGAAGUGGAAUUUCCGGUGUAGCGGUGAAAUGCGUAGAUAUCGGAAGGAACAUCAGUGGCGAAAGCGACUUCCUGGACCAAUACUGACGCUCAUGUGCGAAAGCGUGGGGAGCAAACAGG
rnacentral:rRNA from 1 species